CUCUAUACUUUCCCUAGUCCCCAAGGCCCAAGCCAGAUCUCUCUCUCUCUCUCUAUAAAUCUCUCUCGGUCUCUACUACCAUCUCUGAUCCAACCUAUUUCCCCAUUGAACUCGCUGUUUUCUUCCAAAGAUGGCGAUGAUAGAGCAAAGGCCGAAGACGAAGAUCGUGUGUACCGUUGGUCCCGCUUCCAGAUCCGUUGAGAUGGUCGAGAAGCUUCUCAGGGCUGGCAUGAACGUCGCUAGGUUUAACUUCUCUCACGGAUCUCAUGAGUACCACCAGGAGACUCUCGAUAAUCUCCGUCAAGCUAUGCUCAACACUGGUAUCCUCUGCGCCGUCAUGCUCGAUACCAAGGUUAGUUAUGAUCUCUGAUCUGGAUUCAUUCGACUGUGAUCUGACUUUAUUAGGGUUUGUGAGAUUUUUCUGCAGCUUUCGUUUGGUUUCUGAUUGGUUUAUUCCAGUUUUCGAUCUGCAACAGUGACGCGUGUAUGUUUAUUGUUAUUGUGCCAUUUUUGUAAUCAUCUUAUGCCUGGUACAUGUGUUACUGUUUUGUCUCUUUAUGCCAUUUCCUGUAGAUUAAAAAAAAAAACUAUUAGUAUUGGUUUAUUCUGAGAAUUAGUAAAUUUAUUCUGAAUCUGUGUUUAAAAAGGCGCUCGCCUUAUGCGCCAAGGCGCAAGGCGCACUCAGGCGAUAGCUCCAUCGCCAUGCACAUCCCAGGCGAGGGUAUGGUCCCUAAGGCGCUCGCCUAGUGCGCUUUGGCCAUAAGGCGGUGCCUUCAAAGGCGACGCAAAGGCGCGCGUUGGAGACCCUAUGUUAACCGACACUAAACCAGGUACGAAACCAAACCCUGCUUUAACUAAUUCACCAAUCUUAUAACAAAACUUCAAAAAUAUUCAUCAAAACCCUAGCUCCCUCUUCAAAGUUAAAACCAAAGGUCAAAAAUUCUCACAAAACAUAGAUCUCACAGUGUUUUGCUUAAGGUUAGAGUAUUAUCUACUCUUCUCUAGUCUCAUAGGUUCUUCUUCUUAUUAUUAUGACUACUUGUGUUUCUUGGUUACAGUCUAGAAUGCACUGCGAUUGCUUAUCUCUGUAAUUUUGGUGCUUCUUUUCUUUUAUACAGUAAGUGAUUGACGCUUACGUAAUUGACGCUUACUAGUAUAUUGUAGCUUGAGGACUCUUGUGAUCAAGUUGAUGUAUAAUCUUUGUUUGUAACUGAAACAAAUCUAAUAUAUAUUGAAAUUCAUUUUUAACAUGUAUUUUAUUGCUCUUUAUGGUAUAGUUUGUGUUUGCAUGUUCUUUACGUUAUUGAAUGCUUUAUUUGCAUGUUCAUCAUCAUAGUAAUUUUUUUUUUUUUUUUUAUUAAUCACAGUUUCAAGUGGUCUUCAAGGCGAGCGCCUCGAUGCGCCAUGGCACAAGGCGCAAGGCACAUACUUCAUCGCCAUGGAGCGCCAUACGCCUUUUUAAACACAGUUCUGAAUUAUAAAUCUAGAUCUAUGAGACUCUUUUUUUUUUUGUAGUAGCUUAAAUGUCCCCAGUUACAACUUGAAUUACAACAAAUCAAUUGAGAAAAGUUGAAGCUUGUUAUAGAGGAUGAUGUUCCCCACUUAGAUCUCUUAAAUUAGAAUAUCAUCAACUCGUGAGACCCUGAUUUUUGUAGUGAUGAAUAUGUUAUUACAAACAUUUUUCUUUUGACUAACAUGUUAUAACAAAUUUGUUAGAUGUUAGAUUAUGUUCGUGUAUUGUUCUCUCUCGUCUGUGUAGAACUUUAUAACCAAAGUUCAACUCACGUUGGUGUUUAAUUAUUUUUUUUUCUGCUUGACAUGGUUCUUGUUUAUUAUAAAUGUCACACCUGCUUUCUGUAUGUUUAGAUUAAGGCAUACAUGUCCACAAUUAAAGAGACCUGUGAUUGCUGAGUUAGAAAAAGCUAGCUUUGGUAGACAUGUUCUUGAAUUGUUCUCUUGUCUCUGACUAUGGUUUCUUGGCCAGAAACUAUAGUUAGUGUGUGAAGUAGAAGUUAUACCCAAAUUUCACUUGAUGCUUUAACUUAUUUUGUUGUUUCUGUUGAACAUUUCUCCUGUUAACUUCUUUCUUGUACAUGUAAAUGUAUAAACUGAGGCAGAUCUAUUUUGGUUGUCUGAUCAAACUAACGGGACUGUUCUUUAUUUUUCUCAUAAAGGGUCCAGAGAUCCGAACCGGAUUCUUGAAAGAUGGGAAACCAAUCCAGUUGAAACAAGGCCAAGAGAUCACCAUCUCCACUGACUACGACUUGCAGGGAGACGAGGAAACAAUCUGCAUGAGCUACAAGAAGUUGGCUGAGGAUGUGAACCCAGGGAUGGUUAUCCUCUGUGCUGACGGUACAAUCUCGUUACUGGUCCUCUCCUGUGACACAGAGAACGGCACAGUCCGUUGCCGCUGCGAGAACUCUGCCAUGCUUGGUGAGAGGAAGAACGUUAAUCUCCCAGGUGUUGUUGUGGACCUCCCAACUCUAACUGAGAAAGACAAAGAAGACAUCAUGAAGUGGGGAGUCCCGAAUCAGAUCGAUAUGAUCGCUUUGUCUUUUGUCAGAAAAGGUUCGGACUUGGUUCAGGUCAGGAAACUGUUAGGAGAUCAUGCCAAGAACAUUCUUCUCAUGUCAAAGGUAUGUUGCUCUCUUUAAGGUUUCAGAAACUACAUGAACUCCUGUUUUGAUUGUGAUUGGUUUUGUCUGUGCUAGGUUGAGAACCAAGAAGGUGUGGCGAACUUCGAUGACAUUCUUGUCAACUCCGACGCGUUUAUGAUUGCAAGAGGAGAUCUCGGCAUGGAGAUCCCAAUCGAGAAGAUCUUCCUAGCUCAGAAAGUGAUGAUCUACAAAUGCAACAUCCAGGGAAAACCAGUGGUCACAGCGACUCAGAUGCUCGAGUCCAUGAUCAAAUCCCCUCGACCCACAAGAGCUGAAGCCACUGACGUAGCAAACGCAGUCCUCGACGGCACCGACUGUGUCAUGCUCAGCGGAGAAACCGCAGCUGGAGCUUACCCUGAGCUAGCUGUACGCACGAUGGCCAAGAUCUGCGUUGAAGCCGAGAGCACGCUUGACUACGGAGACGUCUUCAAGAGGAUCAUGCAGUACUCUCCGGUUCCAAUGUCCCCGCUGGAGUCACUGGCCUCCUCUGCAGUCAGAACAGCUAACUCGGCUAGAGCCACGCUCAUCAUGGUCCUAACCAGGGGAGGAAGCACGGCGAGGCUUGUGGCUAAAUACAGACCAGGGAUGCCUAUUUUGUCAGUCGUUGUUCCCGAGAUGAAAACAGACUUCUUUGACUGGUCUUGCAGCGACGAAUCGCCGGCGAGGCACAGUCUCAUCUUCCGUGGGUUGAUUCCGGUGCUGUACGCAGGGUCUGCUAGAGCCUCGCAUGAUGAGUCCACAGAAGAAGCUAUUGAGUUUGCGACUCAGCAUGGGAAAGAGAAGCAGCUGUGUAAGACUGGAGACUCUGUUGUUGCUCUGCUCCGAGUUGGUAAUGCUUCUCUAAUCAAGAUCUUGACCGUCAAGUGAUGAUUGAUGAUUCACGAUCUUUAAAAAGGAGUCCCGUUUUUGGCGUUUGGCGGUUGGGGGAAACGCAACUAUAAUCGGUUUUUGUUAUGAAUUUUUUUUAUUCAAGAUUGUGAUUACAUAUCUUGAGAUAGGAAACUCAAGUUCUCUUUCUUGCUAAUUACAACUACUGUGGUGACCAGUGAAUCCACUUACGGCUCUCUUUGUUUUGGAUUAUUGGUUGUAUGGAACUAAUCAAUCAUACACGUAUCUAUUAUCAUGAUUUUCUUCUUUUUUAUUUAUUUGGUUAUUAACCUUUUUUGUUGCUAAAAAGUAGAGAUGUCAAACAGGUUUACCCAUCCCGUUCCGUCCCGUACCGCAGCGGGUUAGUCGUCGAGCGGGUUACAGCGGGCCUGUCCCGCGCCGGCUGCGGUCUUCAAAAUGCCGGUCCAAACCCGUACUGCAAAAUAUAUAGGACUUCGCGGGCCGUCCCGCGGGACGCCUCCUUAUCAAACCGCCUACUACAGUUUUUUUCAUGAAUGCUCAAGUAUAAGAGUUGUGUAAGAGAAUUGAAAAGAGCUCAUUUAGCUUCACUAAAGACUUAUCAAAAUCAAUGCCACAAAGCUCCGUUUGUGCUUGCGUUCUUGAGUUAAAAGCCUUCUUUUGUUAUCAGCAUAAGCUUUUGUUGAGUUUGAAUCUGAUUGAGUUAUUAUCUUUGUAAUAAGUUGGCUCAAGUGUUUUAUGUCUUCAUCAAACCAUCUCUCUUUUUAAUUAUUUGGAUUGCAAAGAAAAUCGUGAAUCACUUUACCAAAUUAUACAAGUGACGUUUAAUACAACAUAACUUUUCUCCUAAACAACACCACUGUAACCAAAUUUAAUUUUAGAAAAACACCACUUCACAAUACUGAAAACAAAACCAAUCAACUUAAACAAGAAAUAUCACAUUGUAAUAAAGCAAUUCAUAGUUGUGUGUAAUAAAAAGAGAAAACCAAAUCAAAACAACACCAGAGCUCGAAUCGUCAUCGCCGGAGCUGGAGUCGUCAUCGCCGGAGCUCGAACCAUCAUCAUUGGAGCUCGAAUCAUGCAUCAUCGCCGGAACUCCUUAUGUUUUAUGGGAGAAAAAUCACAAGAAUCGUUUUCUAUCUCUCUCUCUCUCUCUCUCUCUCUCUCUCUCUCAAUGUUUUAGGCGAAAGCAGAAAUGGAGACUUAGGGUUGCGGGUCUUCAAAAUCCCGCGGAUUAAGCCCAUCCCGCUUUCGGCCCGUCCUACUUUUGACCCGUCCCGCUUUUGACCCGUCCCGUUUUGAACCCGUCCCGCGAGGCCCACAAUUUUGCGGGCUUACCAAAUGGAGGCCCAAUCCCGCCCCGCAGCAAGCCUUUACGGGCCAGGCCCGCGGUCCAGGUCCUUGAUUGCCAUCCCUACUAAAAAGGUUAUUAUCUUUCUUUUAUUAUAUAGGUCGGAGAUAAUGGGCAUUUGUAUAUUUAUUUCAUGCUUUUGUGUUUUUGGAAAAAGACAGAGUAUGAAGACAAAAAGAAAGAAGACAGCGCAUGAAUCAAUCGCCCAUACAAAAUCAUGCCGACAAAGAUAACUUAAUCAUCACUAUGUGGGAGUGGGCUUCAAUAUAAUUUUCAUGUAAACGAAGUCAAACAAAAUAAUAGAAACGCACUGUCAUAAUUUGAUCAUCUCUGUAUAUGAACGAGAUUGAAUCAUUAUCGCCCCAUACAGAACCCAUUCAUGCCAAUACUAAAUCAUUUUUCUUUCUUAAAAUACUUUUACUAAAGUUCCAUGGAUCAUCUCCGCACAGCACCAAUGAAAGAAGAUUGAAACGAAGAAUAACAUAUAGUACCUCCAAGGAUUUUUCAACAGUCUUUUGAGUAAAUAAACAGCAUUGUUAUGUACAUAAAAUGCAGCGAAAUGAAAUACAGAGAAACAAAAUGAAGAGCUAGAAAAUGAGAAAAUACAAGACAAGGCAACAAGAACAGAACCAACAUUCUUAGUUUCUGGAUGUUUAGUUAUUUUAUCAGCGAGAAGAACCAUAAGAUCUUGAGUAGACAUUGUUCUCACCAGACUGAGCUGAUCCAGAUGAUGAAGGAGAAGACGAAGAAGAAGAAGAAGAAGAAGAGAAGAAACCACUGAACGGCCAUGGAAUCGAAAACCUCCUCCCAUUCCCACUCCUCACAUCCUCCUCUCUUCCUCUCUCCACACUCCCCACAUCCUCAACAACCUCCUCUCUGUUACUACUCUCAGGAACAGUUCUCGUUCCUCUCUCAGACACAACCUUACUCUCAUCAUCACCAUCAUCAUUCCCAGAAGGAAGCUCAAACCGACAAACAGGACACGAGCUAUGAAUCUCAAGCCACGGAACAAUACAUUUCACAUGAAACUUAUGCUUACACGGCAUCUCCUUAGCCUCCACGCCUCUCUCAAACUCAUCCAAACAAACCGAACACUGCAACAACGGCUCCGUCACUUUAACCGUCGGCAAAGCUUCAACGGCUUCUUUACGAGCAGGCGGAGUCCCUUGCCUGUUGGGAUCAUUCUCAGCCAAAUGCUGAAGCAAAAGAUCCAAACCAGGUCCGAUGAAGUAGUCUCCAAGCGAAGUCAACGCAGAAUGAGUCUGCGUUUGAUCUCUAACAACGAGGGACUGGUUAUAAGGAUUGAUCAUGAUCACUCUCUCGUUAUUAUCAGAGCUUUCGUACUCUGAAGCAAUCCCUGCACGUAUCCCUUGAAGGAGCUGCAGUAUAUUCCCUGAGCUUCUUCGUCUUCUCCUUAACAGAGAUUCAAACUCUCUGUCCAAAUCAAUCUCUCCACCGUGACGCCUAGCUCUAUGAUGAUGAUGAUGAUCAACAUUGUUGGAUUCGUCUUCGUUGUCUUCUUCUUCUUCAACAAACUCUGCUCUUCUGAACCUUCUCCGUCUACGAGGACUGCUCAUCAUUCCAAGCAAGAUUGGUGCCCAUAGGGUCAUCGCACGGUCUGUUGUUCCAAACUCUGUUUCAGGGUCUUGAACGUCUCUUAAGCCUCCGUUACCGUUACUGUUACCGCUCAUUUCUUCGACGAAUCCGCUUUGGCAAAAGGGGCAUUUGAUCUCGGAUUCGAUUGUUGGGUUCACCAUCUGUGAACACAUGUGACACCAGUACCUAGCCGCCAUUGUUUCUUCCAUUGUCUCCUCCUCCUUCAAACAGACAAUGAAAAAUCAUAUCUUCAAUACAGAUCUAAGAAUCGUGUAAAGUUUCGAACUUUACAAUAGUUUCAAUCUUAAAGGAGGAAACUUUGUUAUCAAUAUCCAAAAUUUAAUGAUUUUAACAAAUCAAAAUACGAGAUUCAGACAAAAGUCAAGCUUCUUACACAAAGUUCUUGUCUUUUUUUUUUACUCCUGUCUUAAAAACAUGAAAACAAAACCCAGAACGAAGACAAGAUCAUACCUUUUAAAUGUCUUCUGCUUCUUUUCUGAAGACCCAAGAAAAUUCAAGUCUUGUUCUUCCUUUGUUAUGACUCUUCUGGAGAAAUUAAACCCCCCAAAAAAGCUCAGCUUUUGUUGUACCUCCUUGUUGGUCUGGCGAAGGGCUGGAGAAGAAACAAACAAACAAGAAAGAAAAGAGUGGAUGGAAACGAAACAACCCAACCACGUCCUCUUCUAAACCCCCCAACUCCUUCCUUUGUUGUCUCCUCUUACUUUUCUUAAUUAGCAUUUAUUCUGUUAUCCUACUAUAUAAAAGGAGCUAAAUCCUAGCUUCCUAAGCCUUGCCACAUGAACAAAAUAAUCAGAACCAACCAUUAUGCCAUGUUAUUCCGGACUGAACUUUAAAAAAAAAAAAUCAACCAUUAAAAUAUGCGAAGAGUCACGGUUUAACCUGGUUCAACUCCAGUUACAUCAUAAUAAAACAAUGCAUGCAUUGAUUGUUGAUUAUUAGUCUUCUAGCUACCACAUCUUUGCCAUCCUAAAUCAAAAUCGAUUUUUACAACUUUAACUUGCCCCAUACUUAAUAUUCUUAUAGCUGGUGAACAAUUUAAUUUAGGAAAUCGUUAUAUUUCAUGUCAAAAAUGCAUACUGUAUUCAUUGAAAAUUAAAUAACAUAUAUUCUACCAUUAGGAUCAAGAACUCUAAUCUGAAGACUAUUAUAUUCAUCCCCUCUCACUCUGAAAAAACCACCACCGCCAACCGUUCAAGAUUUUGUGUAAGUCAAUAUUUGAAAGUCACAAUUUUGUCAAUUUUUUGGCAUAAGUGAUAUGUUUAAGAGUUGGAUAGUUAAGUCCGUAUGCGGUUGGGGACGUGGGGUUUGGCUCACCUUCCACUGUUUAUUUUCAAUUGUUUUAAUAAUAGAUUCAUAUUGAUAAUCUGUGCGAACAAACGUAUACGAUUUUAGUUGGUUAAGAUUAAACAUAGACCGACAAUCUUCCGUCUUUAGCUAUUGGUCUCCGCCAAAAAAAUUUGAUUUAAUAUAAUAGUUCCUGCCUGCUAAGCUACUACAAUUGUAGUUCACGUCUAUCGGUCAUAUAAAAUAUUUAGUUUUUUUUUGGCUUUAUAAGAUUUUAGUUUGUAAUUAAUCUCAUGGUUCGAUUUUAUCCAUUGAGACCUUUUUCACUAUGUUUUAUUAUCAAACCAUUUCACUUUGCCUAACAUUUAAAUAUUCUUUCCUUUGUUUAAGGAUUGAUUGUUCCUCAAUACCAUGGUCAAACCAACCGCCAAAGAUCUUCCGCUUAUGGGAGGUAUUUUGAAUUUACAAGUGCAUUUUUGAAUCAAAAACAUUAUUAGUAUUGAUAUAUUAAUUUAAUACUUUAAUCCAAAUCUUUUGAGCACUGAGGUUUAAAGUGCUACCUUCUUACACCUUCAUGGUUUAAAAUGCGAUUUUCCCCUUUUUCUUUCUGUCUUCUCGAACCAUUGUUGGGCCAUGGUUUUCGAAACAUAAAUAUCUCGGAUUGAUUUUUUCCUAGUCAAAAAUAUUUUGUCAAAUUGUAGUAACUAAUUUGCACGGUUCUUUUUCGAACUAAUUUGCACCGUUUUAUCCGACCAACCUAUUUCCCCAUUGAACUCGCUGUUUUCUUCCAAAGAUGGCGAUGAUAGAGCAAAGGCCGAAGACGAAGAUCGUGUGUACCGUUGGUCCCGCUUCCAGAUCCGUUGAGAUGGUCGAGAAGCUUCUCAGGGCUGGCAUGAACGUCGCUAGG
rnacentral:lncRNA from 1 species